rnacentral:lncRNA from 1 species
UGAUCUGGCUGUUUCUAUCCAGAUUAUAGACAGAGGCUGAAGAGGACUUCUGCUGGUGCUCACCAUUCAGCUCAGCUGACCACAGGAUGAGAGACUUCAGGAACAUGGUACACAGAAGACUCUAGGCAGUGGCUUAUUAAAUGAUUUCCCUUUGGAGCAGAGAAAGCACAGCCUGAGAGUGUGCUUCAAGGCCAAGGCUACAGAAUCCUUCUCUAAAUUAAGUCA